rnacentral:lncRNA from 1 species
UGGAAGCCAUGCACAGUGGACUUGUUGUUUCAGGAUGAGGGUCGUCAUUCUACGGAGCAUCUCAUUAAGUUUGAAGCAUGGUGGUUGAGGCGGAGUAUGAUCGUAUCUCUACUUCAUUUCGGAUAAACUGGUCCUUGGUCAAUCAGGGAUAAGCUGACUAACCAUAACAUUUUUUGCCUAGAUCUAUGCCGCAAGCAAACUGUAGCUCAUACUCCAGCGGCCUUUCGACCAUAGCUGGCACGCUAAGAAUUGCUAGACUCCAAGGCUCUGUUAAAUAGGUAUUAGUCAAAUAACAUUGGAUUUCACUUGGGUCUACGCCACAAACUGUAGCUUAUACUCCAACGAUCUAUGGCCAUAGCUGACACGCUAACAGUUGUCAAACCCCAUGGCUCCAUUAAAUAGGUAUUAGUUAAAUAACAUUAGAUUUCACUUGGGCCUACACCACAAACUGUAGCAUAUACUCUAGCGGCCCUUCGGCCAUAGCUGGCAUGCUGACAGUUGUCAGACUCCACGGCUCUGUUAAAUAGAUAUUAGUUGAGUAACAUCUUGUCUGGUUUCAGCUGGCAAAGAUGUG